rnacentral:rRNA from 1 species
AUUGAACGCUGGCGGCAGGCUUAACACAUGCAAGUCGAGCGAGCGGCGGACGGGUGAGUAAUGUCUGGGAAACUGCCUGAUGGAGGGGGAUAACUACUGGAAACGGUAGCUAAUACCGCAUACCAUCAGAUGUGCCCAGAUGGGAUUAGCUCGUGGGUGGGGUAAUGGCUCACCUAGGCGACGAUCCCUAGCUGGUCUGAGAGGAUGACCCGCCACACUGGAACUGAGACACGGGCCAGACUCCUAAGGGAGGCAGGAGGGGGGAAUGUUGCAAAAUGGGCGCAAGCCUGAUGCAGCCAUGCCGGGUGUGUGAAGAAGGCCUUCGGGGUGGAAAGGACUUUCAGGGAGGAGGCGUUACUCGCAGAAGAAGCACCGGGUAACUCCGUGCCAGCCGCCGCGGUAAUUC